rnacentral:rRNA from 1 species
CUCGAUAAUCCACGAAAACCAAACCUUCUCUUGAAAUUCAGCAUGUGUACUGCCGUUGUAAGCAUACCUCUAAAAGAACAAGUGUGCCGUCAUGACUAAAACAUAACUCAUAUACAUCAGGUCAAAGUGCAGCCAAUAAGAAGGAGAUGAUGGGUUACAACCCUAAAACAGACAAUAGACUAAGAAAUAAAAAAUCUUAUAAAAGUGGACUUGGCCGUAAUCAAUUUUUAGGGCAAAGAAAUGAAUAAAAAUCUAAGACAUGCACACAUCGCCCGUCACUCUAUCCAAAAGGUUAGAUAAGUCGUAACAAAGUAGGUGUAAUGGAAAUUGCACCUGUCGGAGUAUAGCAUAUAUAAUGCUUUUUAUUUACACUAAAAACAAAGUUCAAUAACUUACUUCGCCCACAUAACAAAAUCCUAUAAAUUAUAAAUAAUAUAAACAACUAAACAACCUACUAGUAAAACAGAAGUACAGAAAUGGAAAUAACUAACUAAUAAUAGUAAAUUUUAACAAUUGUACCUUGUGCAUUAUGGUUUUACAAGAAAAUAAUUAAAAACAUAUAUCCCGAAUUCUCAGUGAGAUGUUAAACUGCUGUUAAGAACCCAUUAGUAACUGUAGAAAAAGCUUUAAAAGAUAGUUUAACAGAGGCUACAUACCAUUCGCAUAAGAAUAUAGCUGGUUUUCAACAAAUAUUAUAAAUUAAGCCAUAUAAUUUAAUUAUAGUGUUAUAUUAUUGAGGAUAAGCCCAAUAAUUUAAGCAAUACUAAAACAAAUCUAUUUUACCUGAUGGGCCUAAAAUCAGCCAAUAAAAAUACUUCACCGUAAAAAAUAAAGAUAAAAUUAUUAACACAGCCAUGCAAAAUAAAAGUUGAAAAUAUGAAUAAACCACUGCCCCUCAACAUUAUCAUGUAAAAAUAAGUAUUAUAAAAUCAUUGUUUAAACUUACUAGCACCUAAUAACAGAUAAGACAACAACAACUAAUUAAGGAACUCGGCAAACCACUAUUUCGACUGUUUAACAAAAACAUUGUCUCAUGGAAUAAAAUAUGAGGUAAU